GUAAUAUGUGAUGAUCUGGCUGUUCCUGUUUGAAUGAUAUCUUGAUAUCGGCGUAUAACUAUAUUUCUGAACUCACAAAUACUGGAUAUUUUGGACUAUCUUGUGGUUUAUGUAGUGGUUAUGAACUCUUGAAAAACAGGAAGCGGUAUUUAUAAUACUUGACAGAAAUAUUUAGCGUUUGAAAUGUAUUCUCAAAGGUAUGU